rnacentral:rRNA from 1 species
CGGCGAGUGAAGCGGCAACAGCUCAAAUUUGAAAUCUGGCUCUUUCAGGGUCCGAGUUGUAAUUUGUAGAGGAUGUUUCGGGUGUGGCUCCGGUCUAAGUUCCUUGGAACAGGACGUCAUAGAGGGUGAGAAUCCCGUAUGUGACUGGUAGCCUAUGCUCAUGUGAAACUCCUUCGACGAGUCGAGUUGUUUGGGAAUGCAGCUCAAAAUGGGUGGUAAAUUUCAUCUAAAGCUAAAUAUUGGCCAGAGACCGAUAGCGCACAAGUAGAGUGAUCGAAAGAUGAAAAGCACUUUGGAAAGAGAGUUAAACAGUACGUGAAAUUGUUGAAAGGGAAGCGCUUGCAACCAGACUUGCAUGUAGCUGAUCAACCGGUGUUCUCACCGGUGCACUCAGUUACGUUCAGGCCAGCAUCGGUUUCGACGGUUGGAUAAAGGCCUUGGGAAUGUAGCUCCUCUCGGGGAGUGUUAUAGCCCAGGGUGCAAUGCAGCCUGUUGGGACCGAGGACCGCGCUUCGGCUAGGAUGCUGGCGUAAUGGUUGUAAGCGACCCGUCUUGAAACACGGACCAAGGAGUCUAACAUCUAUGCGAGUGUUUGGGUGUCAAACCCAUACGCGUAAUGAAAGUGAACGGAGGUGAGAACCCUUAAGGGUGCAUCAUCGACCGAUCCUGAUGUCUUCGGAUGGAUUUGAGUAAGAGCAUAGCUGUUGGGACCCGAAAGAUGGUGAACUAUGCCUGAAUAGGGUGAAGCCAGAGGAAACUCUGGUGGAGGCUCGCAGCGGUUCUGACGUGCAAAUCGAUCGUCAAAUUUGGGUAUAG